CGCCCCGUGAGCCGUGCCACCUAUUUUUGAGUUUCUCUUGCGUGUAUCUCCUCCGUCUGAAUUUUGUUUGGACUAUUUUUGGGCUCGUUGGACUUCGUUCGUCGUCCUGAACCUUGCUGUAGGCUCCUUAUGGAUCGAAUUUUGAGGCAUCAAAUCUCAACAAUCUCUAUCUCGACUCGACAUUCGAUCUCCACCUAACUUUGAAAGUUUUUAGAUCUCCUCGCUCCUAUG
rnacentral:lncRNA from 1 species